GGUUAAGCGACUAAGCGUACACGGUGGAUGCCCUGGCAGUCAGAGGCGAUGAAGGACGUGCUAAUCUGCGAAAAGCGUCGGUAAGGUGAUAUGAACCGUUAUAACCGGCGAUGUCCGAAUGGGGAAACCCAGUGCAAUUCGUUGCACUAUCGUUAACUGAAUACAUAGGUUAACGAGGCGAACCGGGGGAACUGAAACAUCUAAGUACCCCGAGGAAAAGAAAUCAACCGAGAUUCCCCCAGUAGCGGCGAGCGAACGGGGAGCAGCCCAGAGUCUGAAUCAGCUUGUGUGUUAGUGGAACGGUCUGGAAAGUCCGACGGUACAGGGUGAUAGUCCCGUACACCAAAAUGCACAGGUUGUGAACUCGAAGAGUAGGGCGGGACACGUGGUAUCCUGUCUGAAUAUGGGGGGACCAUCCUCCAAGGCUAAAUACUCCUGACUGACCGAUAGUGAACCAGUACCGUGAGGGAAAGGCGAAAAGAACCCCGGCGAGGGGAGUGAAAAAGAACCUGAAACCGUGUACGUACAAGCAGUGGGAGCACCUUCGGGUGUGACUGCGUACCUUUUGUAUAAUGGGUCAGCGACUUAUAUUCUGUAGCAAGGUUAACCGUAUAGGGGAGCCGCAGGGAAACCGAGUCUUAACUGGGCGUUAAGUUGCAGGGUAUAGACCCGAAACCCGGUGAUCUAGCCAUGGGCAGGUUGAAGGUUGGGUAACACUAACUGGAGGACCGAACCGACUAAUGUUGAAAAAUUAGCGGAUGACUUGUGGCUGGGGGUGAAAGGCCAAUCAAACCGGGAGAUAGCUGGUUCUCCCCGAAAGCUAUUUAGGUAGCGCCUCGUGAACUCAUCUUCGGGGGUAGAGCACUGUUUCGGCUAGGGGGUCAUCCCGACUUACCAACCCGAUGCAAACUACGAAUACCGAAGAAUGUUAUCACGGGAGACACACGGCGGGUGCUAACGUCCGUCGUGAAGAGGGAAACAACCCAGACCGCCAGCUAAGGUCCCAAAGUCAUGGUUAAGUGGGAAACGAUGUGGGAAGGCACAGACAGCCAGGAUGUUGGCUUAGAAGCAGCCAUCAUUUAAAGAAAGCGUAAUAGCUCACUGGUCGAGUCGGCCUGCGCGGAAGAUGUAACGGGGCUAAACCAUGCACCGAAGCUGCGGCAGCGACACUAUGUGUUGUUGGGUAGGGGAGCGUUCUGUAAGCCUGCGAAGGUGUGCUGUGAGGCAUGCUGGAGGUAUCAGAAGUGCGAAUGCUGACAUAAGUAACGAUAAAGCGGGUGAAAAGCCCGCUCGCCGGAAGACCAAGGGUUCCUGUCCAACGUUAAUCGGGGCAGGGUGAGUCGACCCCUAAGGCGAGGCCGAAAGGCGUAGUCGAUGGGAAACAGGUUAAUAUUCCUGUACUUGGUGUUACUGCGAAGGGGGGACGGAGAAGGCUAUGUUAGCCGGGCGACGGUUGUCCCGGUUUAAGCAUGUAGGCUGGUUGUCCAGGCAAAUCCGGAUAAUCAAGGCUGAGGUGUGAUGACGAGGCACUACGGUGCUGAAGUAACAAAUGCCCUGCUUCCAGGAAAAGCCUCUAAGCAUCAGGUAACAUCAAAUCGUACCCCAAACCGACACAGGUGGUCAGGUAGAGAAUACCAAGGCGCUUGAGAGAACUCGGGUGAAGGAACUAGGCAAAAUGGUGCCGUAACUUCGGGAGAAGGCACGCUGGUGUGUAGGUGAAGCCCCUGCGGGUGGAGCUGAGACCAGUCGAAGAUACCAGCUGGCUGCAACUGUUUAUUAAAAACACAGCACUGUGCAAACACGAAAGUGGACGUAUACGGUGUGACGCCUGCCCGGUGCCGGAAGGUUAAUUGAUGGGGUUAUCCGUAAGGAGAAGCUCUUGAUCGAAGCCCCGGUAAACGGCGGCCGUAACUAUAACGGUCCUAAGGUAGCGAAAUUCCUUGUCGGGUAAGUUCCGACCUGCACGAAUGGCGUAAUGAUGGCCAGGCUGUCUCCACCCGAGACUCAGUGAAAUUGAACUCGCUGUGAAGAUGCAGUGUACCCGCGGCAAGACGGAAAGACCCCGUGAACCUUUACUAUAGCUUGACACUGAACAUUGAGCCUUGAUGUGUAGGAUAGGUGGGAGGCUUUGAAGCGUGGACGCCAGUCUGCGUGGAGCCAACCUUGAAAUACCACCCUUUAAUGUUUGAUGUUCUAACGUUGGCCCCUGACCGGGGUUGCGGACAGUGUCUGGUGGGUAGUUUGACUGGGGCGGUCUCCUCCCAAAGCGUAACGGAGGAGCACGAAGGUUAGCUAAUCCUGGUCGGACAUCAGGAGGUUAGUGCAAUGGCAUAAGCUAGCUUGACUGCGAGCGUGACGGCGCGAGCAGGUGCGAAAGCAGGUCAUAGUGAUCCGGUGGUUCUGAAUGGAAGGGCCAUCGCUCAACGGAUAAAAGGUACUCCGGGGAUAACAGGCUGAUACCGCCCAAGAGUUCAUAUCGACGGCGGUGUUUGGCACCUCGAUGUCGGCUCAUCACAUCCUGGGGCUGAAGUAGGUCCCAAGGGUAUGGCUGUUCGCCAUUUAAAGUGGUACGCGAGCUGGGUUUAGAACGUCGUGAGACAGUUCGGUCCCUAUCUGCCGUGGGCGCUGGAGAAUUGAGGGGGGCUGCUCCUAGUACGAGAGGACCGGAGUGGACGCAUCACUGGUGUUCGGGUUGUCAUGCCAAUGGCACUGCCCGGUAGCUAAAUGCGGAAGAGAUAAGUGCUGAAAGCAUCUAAGCACGAAACUUGCCCCGAGAUGAGUUCUCCCUGAGACUUUAAGUCUCCUGAAGGAACGUUAAAGACGAUGACGUUGAUAGGCCGGGUGUGUAAGCGCAGCGAUGCGUUGAGCUAACCGGUACUAAUGAACCGUGAGGCUUAACCUU
rnacentral:rRNA from 1 species